UACGAAGGGGGCUAGCGUUGUUCGGAAUCACUGGGCGUAAAGGGUGCGUAGGCGGGUCCUUAAGUCAGGGGUGAAAUCCUGGAGCUCAACUCCAGAACUGCCUUUGAUACUGAAGGUCUUGAGUUCGGGAGAGGUGAGUGGAACUGCGAGUGUAGAGGUGAAAUUCGUAGAUAUUCGCAAGAACACCAGUGGCGAAGGCGGCUCACUGGCCCGAUACUGACGCUGAGGCACGAAAGCGUGGGGAGCAAACAGG
rnacentral:rRNA from 1 species